GUGGGGAAUAUUGGACAAUGGGCGCAAGCCUGAUCCAGCCAUGCCGCGUGUGUGAAGAAGGCCUUUUGGUUGUAAAGCACUUUAAGCGAGGAGGAGGCUCCUUUAGUUAAUACCUAAAGAGAGUGGACGUUACUCGCAGAAUAAGCACCGGCUAACUCUGUGCCAGCAGCCGCGGUAAUACAGAGGGUGCGAGCGUUAAUCGGCUUUACUGGGCGUAAAGCGUGCGUAGGCGGCUUUUUAAGUCGGAUGUGAAAUCCCUGAGCUUAACUUAGGAAUUGCAUUCGAUACUGGAAAGCUAGAGUAUGGGAGAGGAUGGUAGAAUUCCAGGUGUAGCGGUGAAAUGCGUAGAGAUCUGGAGGAAUACCGAUGGCGAAGGCAGCCAUCUGGCCUAAUACUGACGCUGAGGUACGAAAGCAUGGGGAGCAAACAGGAUUAGAUACCCCUGUAGUCC
rnacentral:rRNA from 1 species